UACGUAGGGGGCUAGCGUUGUCCGGAAUCAUUGGGCGUAAAUUGCGUGUAGGCGGUCCGGUAAGUCUGCUGUGAAAGUCGGGGGCUCAACCCUCGGAUGCCGGUGGAUACUGUCGGGCUUGAGUACGGAAGAGGCGAGUGGAAUUCCUGGUGUAGCGGUGAAAUGCGCAGAUAUCAGGAGGAACACCAAUUGCGAAGGCAGCUCGCUGGGACGUUACUGACGCUGAGACGCGAAAGCGUGGGGAGCAAACAGG
rnacentral:rRNA from 1 species